rnacentral:lncRNA from 1 species
AGAACCAACAGCAGGAAUGGAGCUUCCUGCCCAAUGCUGGGCUUUAGUCUCAGCUGCAUGGGUUCGAGUCCUCAGUCUAAUGUUCCCAUGGGCAAUGAGAGGGAAGUGACUUGGCCUCUCUGGACAUUUGCUUCCCUAGUAGCAGAACAUGGUUAAUAAUGCUCCACCCAUAAUUAUCUCCAGAAUUUAAAACCAGGCAUGGUCCUUGUGAAUAUACCACAGACCACUGAACUGUACACUUAAAAAUGGUGAAAGGCCAGGGGUUUAACUCAGUGGUGCCAAUGCCUGCCUCGAAAAUGCAAGGCCCUGAGUUCGAUCCCCGGUACCAAAAAAACCCCCAAAAUGGUGCUGUUUGUGGUGUGUGAAUAAUAUCUUUUUAAAGAAAUGUAAGUAUGUCGUGUUUGGUCCAGCUUUUUGAUAAUAAAACAGGGGUGCCAGGGAUUUAGCUCAGUGACACCGUGCUGGCUUCAAAAGCACAAGGACCCAAGUUUGAUCCCUAGUACCAAAAAGAAAAGUAAACAGGGGUGAUCACUGCUAGCAACAGAAUUUCCCAAGUGGCCCCACACCAGGCUGGCCACACAGCAGGUGAUGGAGAACAUAGCCCACAAGCAUGUUUUUCUGCUGGGCACAGUGGCACACGCCUAUAAUCCCAGCAUUUGGAGGCUGAGGCAGGAGGAUCGCCACAAGUUCAAGGCCAGCCUGGGCUACAUAGUGAGACUUUGUCUCAAAAAAAAAAAAAAAAGCAUAUUUUUCUGUGCCUAGCAUAUGAGGCUGGGGACCCAGAGGUUUCCAGUCCUCAGCACAAGCUGCCUGGUGUCUGUCUCACCAGAGGAUAGAAUGCUAGCCCCACCUUCACAGGAACAGAAGAUAACCUGGGACCUGAAGACUUGGAUGCUCCAAGGCAUGGCCACCCACUUCAGGCAUCUGACCUUAUGUUUUCUUUAUCCAGUCUUUUACAGAGCUGUGGUUUCAAACACAUUCAUAGCCAUGUUUUGGUGGCAGAACCGAGCUCGGCUGUUCCUGAGCCACGGAAAGCAGAACCGCUCGCCCGCGCCGCGCCGGAGGAACGCGUUCUGCUGUUCUUCUCCACUCCCCAGGGUGUGAUGUCUUGGGAAUCCACUUCCAACAGAACCCGUGGCCCAUCUGCCACAGGCGCGGCCCAGGGGCGCGAAGCUUCCGGCUCGGCCCCAGGC